rnacentral:hammerhead_ribozyme from 1 species
AUCCAGCUGACGAGUCCCGAAUAGGACGAAAUGCGCGUCAAACUGGAU